UCUCUCUCUCUUCCUCUUUCUCCCUCUCUAUUCUAUUCUUCUCUCUCUGUUUAUCUCUCUCACUCGCAGUCUGUCUCACUGUUUCUCUCACUCUCGCAUUCCUCACUCCACCAUGGAUCAUGAAAUCUUCAUGUAACAGUGUAGUCCUUUCUAUCAGCCUUUCUAUCAGUGCACUAAAUAGGUAAUAGAGUGCCAUUUGGGAAGCAGACAAAUCACUUUUGAGUUGACUACAUAAAGUUAACUUUGUUUUCAAAAUUGAAAACAUCAGACACAAAAAAACACCCACACCUGACUGUUUUAAUACUACACUCUUAUAAAAAAAGGUGCUAUCUAGAAACUUAAAGGGUUCUUCGGCUGUCCCCUUAGGAGGAUCAUUGAAAAAACAUUUUUGGUUGCAGGUAGAAUCAUUAUGUGUUCCAUGUAGAACUCUUUCUACAGAGGGUCUACAUGGACCCCAAAAGAGUUCUACCUGGAACCAAAAAAGGGUUCUCCCGUGGGGACAGAUGAAUAACCUUUUUGGAACCUUUUUUCUAAGAGUAAAUAGCACCCAUCCACUAAUCCACUAUACUCCUGACUCGCCACUCCCUUCACCUAGCACUGAGAGUUGGUUAGAGAGAUUAGGUGUUUUAAAGGUAUACCUCCUGGAGGACACAUCUCCAGGGUUAGUCCUUACACACUCCUUAGCGGAUGUGCAAUACCUCCCAAGUAGACUAGGGCUGUGGAGACCAGUCUCACUGGUCUCUAGUAUAUGAGAGAAAGAGAGAGAGGAGGGAUGAGAAAGAGAACAAGCGAGAUUGACAGAACAGAAUACAAUGAGAGAAAAGAGAGUGAUAUACAAUCAGUGAGAGAAAGAGUUAUAGAGUGAGAGUAAGGGAGAGCUAGGUAGGUAGAGAGAGAGAGAACUAGAGAUGGAGAGUAGUGGUGAGCUCUAACAGUAAUUAUCCAGGGGAAUGUCCUGACAUUUGUCCUGACAUUUUCCGAGGCUGCCCUCAAACCAUCUGUGUAAAGAUCCCUAAUGGUACAGCGUGGAACACACACGCAGAUGGCAAGACAAGAGAGCCUGCCUCUCCAACCUUUCCCGCUAAUCAGCUGAUAUGCAGCUCUAGCAGGACAAAGUCGCCCCAGACGCUGAUCUAAGGUCAGUUUUGCAUUACCUCUCCCUAAUGGUUUGGGUUGGAAAUGUGGGCAGGGUAAACUGAUCCCAGAUCAUUUUCUAAUGGCUACUUAUCUCUGACUCAUCAUACAACUGUGAAGGGAACGUUUAUGAUAGGUACUCACACAGAGGAACGGCUGAUGGUAUCCUAAUCCUUGUUCUGUCCUAAUCUUAAUACCAAAUGCCAUUACCAGGUUGUUAAAUACCACACUAGAGAGACAGGUAAGUGAGAGAGUGGGGAUGCAACUUCCUGAAUUGACAAACUUCUACAGAUCCUCAAGAUCACUAGUGUUUAAAUUGGUCCAUGAUCAUGUGACUGUUCCUAAAUCUGUUUCAUUUCAUCAAUCAGUUUCCACUUCCUUGGUGAUCACCUCUGAUCUUUUCUGGGCGACCAGAAAACCCAUCUGAUUAAUACAGUAGAGAACUUUUCUAACUCUAAAGCGAUGUGUUGUGUUAGUUUGUUUGUCAUGGGCUUUUGAAAAGUUUCAGACUAUGACUAUACAAUCUGUCAACGAGAACUUCAAUCAUUAAACUUCAAAACAGUGAAUCCUGUAAAGAUUUAGUGAAUUGAACAGAUGAGGUAUUGAAAGCAGUAUGUUUGAAAAUGAUCUUCAGAGUGUGUGGUUUGGUGCAAGAAUAUGAUACAUUUGCUAAACUCUAGAAAAAUGAGAGGAACAGCAACAGAACCUCUGAUCUUGGACUACAGAGGUUACCCUCCAACCUACCAUGCUUGAGAUGUUGACAUAGCUUCUCAUACAACCAUCAACGCUCUCCCAUUGGUGUUACAAAAGAAAGUCCCUCCUUCCUUUUCCUCCCACAUUCAUGGGUUUUUAUACAUAAGACUGUACAAAGUAGUCCUCUGUUUUCAUAGAGUGUCUUUUUUAUAUGAAAAUAAAUUUUCAAAUUGA
ensembl:lncRNA